GACGGAGGGUGCUAGCGUUGUUCGGAUUGACUGGGCGUAAAGGGCGUGUAGGCGGUUGGCCCAGUCCGGUGUGAAAGCCCGAGGCUUAGCCUCGGAAGUGCAUCGGAAACUAGCCGACUGGAGCGCGAUAGAGGAGGGUGGAAUUCCUGGUGUAGCGGUGAAAUGCGUAGAUAUCAGGAGGAACACCGGCGGCGAAGGCGGCCCUCUGGAUCGUUGCUGACGCUGAGACGCGAAAGCGUGGGGAG
rnacentral:rRNA from 1 species